GUGCUUGCUUCGGCAGCACAUGUACUAAAAUUAGAACAAUACAGAGAUUAGCAUGGCCCCUGUGCAAGGAUGACAUGCAAAUUCGUGAAGCAUUCCAUAUUUAA